rnacentral:rRNA from 1 species
CCCUAUUAUAUUUAAUGUAAUUUGAACUUUGAGUAGUAUAUGAUUCGUUCAGGAAACUUAAAGAAUUUGGCGGUGUAUAUUCUUAUUAGAGGAAUAUGAUUUUUAAUUGAUACUCCACAAUUAUCUUACUUGAAAUUAUUUAUUUUGUAUAUCUCCGUCUUAAAAAGAUUUUUAAAAGAUAUUUUUUAUUUUCAUAUAAUGAAACAAGUCAGGUCAAGGUGCAGAUUAUAUUCAAGUUAAAUUGUAUUACAAUAAAUUUAUUUUUGGAUAUAUUAUGAAAAUUAUAUUGAAAUUGGAUUUAUUAGUAAAUAUUUAUUUUAUUAUAAUGAAUUGAAUUGUGUUAAUAUACAUGUACACAUC